rnacentral:rRNA from 1 species
AGCGAACGCUGGCGGCAGGCUUAACACAUGCAAGUCGAGCGGGCACUUCGGUGUCAGCGGCAGACGGGUGAGUAACACGUGGGAACGUACCCUUCGGUUCGGAAUAACGCUGGGAAACUAGCGCUAAUACCGGAUACGCCCUUUUGGGGAAAGGCUUGCUGCCGAAGGAUCGGCCCGCGUCUGAUUAGCUAGUUGGUGGGGUAAUGGCCUACCAAGGCGACGAUCAGUAGCUGGUCUGAGAGGAUGAUCAGCCACACUGGGACUGAGACACGGCCCAGACUCCUACGGGAGGCAGCAGUGGGGAAUAUUGGACAAUGGGCGCAAGCCUGAUCCAGCCAUGCCGCGUGAGUGAUGAAGGCCUUAGGGUUGUAAAGCUCUUUUGUCCGGGACGAUAAUGACGGUACCGGAAGAAUAAGCCCCGGCUAACUUCGUG